CCUCUGUCUACAGGCUUAUUUCCCCACCCUACUCUCCUUCCCGAGUGCUGCUAUGCACUGUAACUUCAGAUAACCCUUCCAAGUUCAGCACACCUUGUACGUGCUGCAGAAGUAGAAAGAAAGAAGGAAAAAGACAGAUGGACCAGUAUAAAUCCAGCAAAUAAACCAAGAGGUGGAUGGGACACAGGGCCAGCAGCCCAGGUGCCCAGGGAAGUGCUGUACCUGAACACCUAUAGGAAGAAGGAAGACAGAGAAAAACCAUGAUUCGAGGCAUGACCCAGCUCACCUGACUCCUCUGACACCAGCCUUGUCCCCAUGAGCAGCCCAGCCAGGCAGACUAGAGCCAAGCCAUGCUCUGAAACUUGUUAAUGGGGCCACCGGAGCGAGUCACUUAACCUCUCCAGGCCUCCAUGUCUUCCUCUGUAAAACGGCAAGAAUAAAAGUAACCAUUCACAGAG
rnacentral:lncRNA from 1 species